GACCUCGUAGCUCAGUUGGUAGAGCAUUGGACUAGUAUCCCAAAAAAGGUCGCGGGUUCGAUUCCCACCGUGGUCA
rnacentral:tRNA from 1 species